UGAUCAAGUGAUGAGAAAAAUAACUGCAACAAAAUGAUAUUUGUUUGUGAUUAUUAUCUGUAUUUAAGUCUCUGAUGAUGAUGAACAAAUGUUUUUUUUAAAUUUACUACUUUUAUUGUUUGUUAAUUUGGAGAAAUGAUGAGGAAUUAAUUGGUCCGUGUUUCUGAAUUAUCCGUGACCGACAACCUUUAACCACUUCUGAUCUCCAUAUUUGCUCUUUUUUUUAUUUGAUUAUGUUUGUGGUACAAGUUUUUGUUUAGUUUUGGAAGUGCUUGCCUUGAUGAAUUAUGAAUCUAAUCACAUGUCAGACUUCAGAGGCUCUUUAAAGUAAAGAGUCAAUGAGAUUACACUUCAUAUAUCUGAGCAAGUA
rnacentral:lncRNA from 1 species